rnacentral:rRNA from 1 species
GUGGGGAAUUUUGGACAAUGGGCGAAAGCCUGAUCCAGCCAUGCCGCGUGCAGGAUGAAGGCCUUCGGGUUGUAAACUGCUUUUGUACGGAACGAAAAGACUCCUUCUAAUAAAGGGGGUCCAUGACGGUACCGUAAGAAUAAGCACCGGCUAACUACGUGCCAGCAGCCGCGGUAAUACGUAGGGUGCAAGCGGUAAUCGGAAUUACUGGGCGUAAAGCGUGCGCAGGCGGUUAUAUAAGACAGAUGUGAAAUCCCCGGGCUCAACCUGGGAACUGCAUUUGUGACUGUAUAGCUAGAGUACGGUAGAGGGGGAUGGAAUUCCGCGUGUAGCAGUGAAAUGCGUAGAUAUGCGGAGGAACACCGAUGGCGAAGGCAAUCCCCUGGACCUGUACUGACGCUCAUGCACGAAAGCGUGGGGAGCAAACAGGAUUAGAUACCCCUGUAGUCC